CCCUUAGAUGUCCUGGGCCGCACGCGCGUUACACUGAUGCAUUCAACGAGCUUAUAACCUUGGCCGAGAGGCCUGGGCAAUCUUGUUAACGUGCAUCGUGAUAGGGAUAGAUUAUUGAAAUUAUUAAUCUUGAACGAGGAAUUCCUAGUAAACGCAGAUCAUCAACUUGCAUUGAUUACGUCCCUGCCCUUUGUACACACCGCCCGUCGCACCUACCGAUUGGAUGGUCCGGUGAAGCCUCGGGAUUGUGGUUCUUGCCGCUUUAUUGUGGCGUGACCGCGAGAACUUGUCUAAACCUUAUCAUCUAGAGGAAGGUGAAGUCGUAACA
rnacentral:rRNA from 1 species